rnacentral:rRNA from 1 species
GAUGAACGCUGACAGAAUGCUUAACACAUCAGCAAUUGAUUGGUGGCGGACGGGUGAGUAACGCGUAAAGAACUUACCUCACAGUUAGGGCCAACAUUUGGAAAAGAAUGCUAAUACCUAAUACUGUGAGAGAGCUUUGCGUCCCAUUAGCUAGUUGGAGAGGUAACGGCUCACCAAGGCGAUGAUGGGUAGCCGGCCUGAGAGGGUGAGAGGCCACAAGGGGACUGGGACACGGCCCUUACGCCUACGGGAGGCAGCAGUGGGGAAGAGUGGACAAUGGACCAAAGUCUGAUCCAGGAAUUCUGUGUGCAAUAUGAAGUUGUCGGAAUGUAAAGGGCUUGCAGUUGUGAAGCGGUACCAACAGAAGAAGUGACGGCUAAAUACGUGCCAGCAGCCGCGGUAAUAC